CCUACGGGCGGCAGCAGUGAGGAAUAUUGGUCAAUGGUCGGGAGACUGAACCAGCCAAGCCGCGUGAGGGAUGAAGGUACAGAGUAUCGUAAACCUCUUUUGUCAGGGAACAAAGGCGGGGACGCGUCCCCGGAGGAGUGUACCUGAAGAAAAAGCAUCGGCUAACUACGUGCCAGCAGCCGCGGUAAUACGGAGGAGGCGAGCGUUAUCCGGAUUUAUUGGGUUUAAAGGGUGCGCAGGCGGUCUGUUAAGUCAGCGGUCAAAGCCCGGGGCUCAACCCGGGCACGCCGUUGAAACUGGGAGUCUCGAGUUGGAGAGAAGUAUGCGGAAUGCGCGGUGUAGCGGUGAAAUGCAUAGAUAUCACGCAGAACUCCGAUUGCGAAGGCAGCAUGCCGGCUCCACACUGACGCUGAGGCACGAAAGCGUGGGUAUCGAACAGGAUUAGAUACCCCAGUAGUC
rnacentral:rRNA from 1 species